rnacentral:rRNA from 1 species
CCUACGGGAGGCAGCAGUGAGGAAUAUUGGUCAAUGGCCGGAAGGCUGAACCAGCCAAGCCGCGUGAAGGACGAAGGUGCCAAGCAUUGUAAACUUCUUUUGUCAAGGGACAAAAUCAGGCUCGAGAGCCUGACCGAGGGUACUUGAAGAAAAAGCAUCGGCUAACUCCGUGCCAGCAGCCGCGGUAAUACGGAGGAUGCGAGCGUUAUCCGGAUUUAUUGGGUUUAAAGGGUGCGUAGGCGGGCGGUUAAGUCAGCGGUAAAAGCCCGGGGCUCAACCCCGGCGAGCCGUUGAAACUGGGUGUCUAGAGAUGUCGAGAGGUAUGCGGAAUGCGCAGUGUAGCGGUGAAAUGCUUAGAUAUUGCGCAGAACUCCGAUUGCGAAGGCAGCAUACCGGCGGCGAUCUGACGCUGAGGCACGAAAGCGUGGGUAUCGAACAGGAUUAGAUACCCCAGUAGUC